rnacentral:snoRNA from 1 species
ACCGGUGAUGACUUUGCAGGGUAGCUACUGAAAUUGAUGAAGAAGUCGCUCCAGUCUGAGG